GAUUAUCAAACAUACCCUACUGUCUUACAGCUGAUCAGUUGAAAUAUUAAUUUUUUUAACUUUCAGAAUGGUUCCAGAGGCUUUUGAGUUUGUAUGGCUGCGUCACAGCAGGACUCUCCCUACAGUAUAUCUGUCUUCAGAAGUGGUCAGAAAAUCAGUAUCUGCCAACAGUUAGAUAUGGCAUGAUGAUGGAGCAAUGAAAAUAGCAACAAUAUGAGAAAAAAGAGUUUCGCUCUUGUUACCCAGACUGGAGUGCAGUGGCACGAUCUCGGCUCACCGUAACCUCCACCUCCUGGAUUCAAGCAAUGCUCCUGCUUCAGUCUCCUGAGUAGCUGGGACUACAGGAGCGCACCACCAUGCCCCGCUAAUUUUUUUGUAUUUUUAGUAGAGACGGGGUUUCACCUUGUUGACCAGGAUGGUCUCAAUUUCUUGACCUCGUGAUCCACCUGCCUCGGCCGCCCAAAGUGCUGGGAUUAUAGGCGUGAGCCACCGCUCCCAGCAAUUAUGAC
rnacentral:lncRNA from 1 species